rnacentral:rRNA from 1 species
CAGUAGCCGCGGUAAAACGUAGGGUGCAAGCGUUAAUCGGAAUUACUGGGCGUAAAGCGUGCGCAGGCGGUUCGUUAAGACAGAUGUGAAACCCCCGGGCUUAACCUGGGAACUGCAUUUGUGACUGGCGAGCUAGAGUAUGGGAGAGGGUGGUAGAAUUCCACGUGUAGCAGUGAAAUGCGUAGAGAUGUGGAGGAAUACCGAUGGCGAAGGCAGCCCCCUGGGCUAAUACUGACGCUGAUGCACGAAAGCAUGGGGAGCAAACAGGAUUAGAUACCCCAGUAGUCCCUGUCUCUUAUAU